rnacentral:rRNA from 1 species
UACGGGGGGGGUAAGCGUUGUUCGGAAUUACUGGGCGUAAAGGGCUCGUAGGCGGCCAACUAAGUCAGACGUGAAAUCCCUCAGCUUAACUGGGGAACUGCGUCUGAUACUGGAUGGCUUGGAUCCGGGAGAGGGAUGCGGAAUUCCAGGUGUAGCGGUGAAAUGCGUAGAUAUCUGGAGGAACACCGGUGGCGAAGGCGGCAUCCUGGACCGGUAUUGACGCUGAGAAGCGAAAGCAUGGGGAGCGAACAGG